UAGAUCCACUUGUGAGAGCACACGUGUUUCUUAUGUUGACAGCGCUGGCUCGGGAGCGGAAAGGGAAGGCAGAGAUCUUCACAAGUGAGGAUGUCAGGGAAAGCACUGGCGCACUGGAAGUAGAGAGUAUGGUCCAGACGGCGCAGUAAGCAGCAGUCUUGACUAUUUCUUCAACUAAAAAGGAAAGCAUCACGCAUGUUGCAACUCGUUUCAAAAAUAAAGGCUGAUCCAAGACCAAGUGCCUCGAGGAUAACAAGGACUUCCAGCUCCGCCACAUUCCAAGAUGUUAGGGCAAACUAUAUUUAACUUGAAACAGGUGACCAUGAUGUAAAAUGAUUACACAAUGCAAAACAACAAAAUAGUGUAUAUAGUAAUUACUAUUGUCACACAAUCUGCACAAUCACACGUCUGGCUCACAGUUCUGAGGACUGGGGUUCAAUCCCCAAGCCCCGCCUGUGUGGAGUUUGCAUAUUCUCCCCGUGCCUGCGUGGGUUUUCUCCGGGCACUCCGGUUUCCUCCCACAUCCCAAAAACAUGCAUGGUAGGUGAAUUGAAGACACUAAAUUGCCCGUAGGUGUGAAUGUGAGUGCGAAUGGUUGUUUGAGUCUAUGUGCCCUGCGAUUGGCUGGCAACUGGAUCAGGGUGUUCCCCGCCUCCUGCCCGAUGAUAGCUGGGAUAGGCUCCAGCACUCCCGCGACCCUUGUGAGGAUAAGCGGCUCAGAAAAUGGAUGGAUGGAUAUACAACUAAGAAACGCGCAGUGAGCUCACAACAUGGCUUGAGUUAAACGUCAGUGGCUGUUUUAUAAC